CCUCAUAAACAAACCACCCACGACGAGGCACCCACGCCCACCAUCUCUCAUAACCCCUUCCUCCUCCUCAUCCCAUCUGAGAAAACUCCUCGGUCGUCCAGCCCGGACUACCAUGCCCGCACAGGAUCUCGUAGCCCCUCGAUCCAAUCUUCGCCCUCGCCGGUGCGGGCGGCCUUGCCACUCUCCCGAGAAAAAUCCAUCUGAGACCGAGCCUGCGACCAGCGCCCUCACGAGAAGAUGAUGGCGUACGCAGCGUUAUCGAGGUCGAGGAGUCCCUCGAUCCAAUCCUCGCCCUCGCCAUCACCAGCGUCGGCGUCCCCGCCCGUCUCCAUGGGGUCAUCCGGCUCAUCUUCGAUGACUAUGUCAUCGGUGCGGUCGCCGAGAAGAUGAUGGCGUACGCAGCGUUAUCGAGGUCGAGGAGUCCCUCGAUCCAAUCCUCGCCCUCGCCAUCACCGGCGUCGGCGUCCCCGCCCGUCUCCGUGGGGUCAUCCGGCUCAUCUCCGAUGACUAUGUCAUCGGUGCGGUCGCCGCACCGGACAAUAACAACGCUCGCUCACCUGAGUCUUUGGUUGACGCCCUCCUGCGGUCCUGCCGCCGCUCUAUGUGUCGACACCGACGGCACACUCCGCAUGUUCUUCGACAAAGGAAAUGACGAACAACGGCAUGUCAUCCCAUCGCUCUUUCUUUCUUAUUUUAUUUUUACAUCCUUGUCACAAUACUGCCCGUGUUGCUAUUGUUCUAUAAAUUGAUCUGCUGUUGUUGUAACAAUAGAAGCGAGCUGCAGAUUUUUUUCAAUAGAGUUGAUUUGUUUGCAGAUUCUUGUAUGGGUAGAAGAAAGAUAGAAUUGACUUUGCGUACAGACUAUCAUAUGGAUGUGGAUGGCUAUCACCGGCCAAAGGAGGGUGAUGCCAGAUGUUGUAGACCGUCAGCGAGGAGCUCCCGGACGAAGAUGGCAGUGGCUAACAAGCACAAUCUACUCAUUGAGGAGGCCAUACACAUUCAUGUGCAUUCUUGGUUUUAGAAGAAACUGGACUAGUUUGAUUUGAAUUAGUUCGAUUUGAUUCAGUAGUUGUGGUACUGUUAAAUCCUCGGAUGCAACAUUUGUUUGGUAGGUCUUACUAAAAUGGAGUCAAUAAAGUUGGAGAGGAAGAAAAAAGUCAUCAUUGCAUAUUCAGGUUCAAUGGGCAUAUGAUGACGUCACCGCAUGAGAUGGGCAGUGCCUCAGCCGUUGUGGACACAAACGAGGUCGCCGCCAAGAUCACCUCGUCCUGGGCUACUCAUCAUCCACCGCACGAGGUGCUCCGACACUUCACCCUAAACCCUUACUUCUUCAUAAGUACUGAGUUACCUAUGCCAUAGGAUUUAAAUAGUUACAUAAUUGAAAAUUGACGUGUGAUUUCAAGGCUCGUACUGGCUUUUCCUUACCCUAUUUUCUCUCUCAUACGCUAGCGAUGUCCAAUAUAUUGUAGCUAAUGAUUAUUUAUCCAUGUUUGUAUGAUGUUAUGUAAGUGAUUCUCUCUCUUUUUCUUUCUUUUCCAUGUCUAAAAUCUGCAUAUAUUGAGAGAUAAAAUUGUCUUGUUCAUAAUUUCAAUGUUUGACACAAGCCCGGAGGCAACAAUGCUUGCUUCUUGCUUGGCAACAUACUUUAGGAAAAAACACGGUGCGUCUCCUGUUAAUGUUGCUUCACGGGUUGCCAUGUCGAAGUUGCCCCUUUUAGACCGAGGUGGACGCGUCAAAGAUGUAAAUGGCAGAGGGUCUUCGCUAUGUUAGGCACGUUAGGCCUCUCAUGUGUCUACCUUGUGAAUGCAGGCCACUAAUACAUCGAGUUUCAACUGGUUAUCCUUCUUUACCGAUGUAAAAUAGUUAACUAAUGGUUUUGUUGUACACUCCCUCUGUUCCUUGAUAUAAGGAGUAUAGAUUUUUGCCAUUACCGUUCGCUGUUUUCUCUAUUUCUGACAAGUAUUAACUUCUCUUCACUUCCUUGCUUAUGUAUACAUGCUAUGAUAUGUUGUAAUAUGGAUUGGAUUUGUAUACACUUACUAUACUUAUUUAAGUGUUAGACACAUGGCUCUUGUUCUUGUUCUUUUAAUAUAGCGGAUCUUCUUCUAAUUCAUACGAUCACAGUUUCUUGUUCAUGCUUUAGGUAUGUAUGCAUUUUUGUUUCUGAUGUGAACGCACUCCUGAUAUAUGUGGCUUUGUGUUAAAGUGUUCCAGUAUUAUUUAUGUACUUCUAUCUAGUAGGUUGUUCUGUGUAUUUUUGUAUUUGCUGAUUGCAAUUUCUUUGCCCUGGUGGAUGAUUCAAAUCCAUAUAGUUUGCGAGUUGAUGGCAGUCUUAGCGGAAUUUUUAUUUAUAUAUGUUUAAAUGUCUUUCCUAUGGAUAAAAUAAACUGCAGUCGAUUUAAUUUUCAGAAUAACAACUGUUGGUGACUACAAUUUUUGAAUUGUAUACAAUAUCCUUUGCCAUUUUUGAAUAGUUAACACGAGACAUUUGUUCAUAUCCAUAAUUGUUCCAUUGUGAUGGUGUUUGCUUUACUGUCUGUCUGCAGGAAUAUUCUUUUAUGAUUUGUUCAUUACAAUUUCUUGAGGACAACACUUUAUGUGGAAGCUAUGCUAGAGACUAGGUGGUAAUAAUGGCCAUUAUUUACAAUCUCGAAAACUCUUAAUAAAUGACUCGAUCGUCUCAAAUAAGAAACUACUUAUUAAUUUGCCACACACAAAAAGGCAUAGCAAGUUGUACUCCAUCCGUCCCUCAAUAUAAGACAUUUUUGCAAGCUAAACUAGCCUACAAAAACGUCUUAAAUGCGGGACUGAGGGAGUAUGUAUCAGUAACAAACCCUUAAUUACCAUAUUUAUCUAGAAAUUAUUAUGUAUUUACCCCCAAGCAGUCUAAGCCACGAGGUUUGGCUGCUAAAAGCAAGGGCUCCAACUCAAAAAGAAGAAGGGCUCCAAUCAACGGUAUGGAUCUCCAAUCCGUGAAAGAACAUUAAGGAUUUCCACAUAUGUUCUUGACUUCAUUUUGAAGGAAAUGGAAAUAUAAACUGACAUAUUAACUUGUUUCUUUUCUCACCAUAUUUUUUGGGAGUUUUUAACUUAUGUAAGAAUCAUGCCAUCUACAAUGGUAUGUGGAACUAUGAGUCCUCUCAUAAAGAUAAUGUAUGUAUUGCUUUUAGCCUUUGAAUAAAGGAAAAUAAGAUUCAUAUAGAAAAGUAUCCUCUCCGUCAGGAAUGAGUUAACGCUAUGUCAUAUAACUAAUAUAUUGCUGGUAAAUUUGGUGAUUACAUUUUAGUCAUUAAAAACUAGCGUGUCGGGUAAAUUGGGAUGGAUAGUAGCACGAUUUUACCUUGUUAAAGGACGAAUCUUCAUCCCCAAUAGUAUUAUUCUCUUCACUAUAUUAGAUGCCGACCCUUGUCCAAGGCCAUGGAAAGGAAGCUUAAAGGAUUCAACAAUAGGAUCAAUUGUGAUAGCAGAAGGGUCAAGUGAGGGUGUGUUUUGUUAACAUUUAUAUCUGGUUUUGAUUGAUUGGUAAUUAAAUAGGGAAGGGAGUAACAUGAUUUUGUAGGAGGAGCCGCAGCCCGCAGUGCAUCUUCUCCCCUGCAGCCCGAGCUCCGAUGGCCCCAGAGCCGAGUGAAGGUGCGGUAGUGUCAUGCAUGGGUAUGCCGAUCCUGAUUGUGUCCUCGCCAUGACGCUGACGGCACGCCCUCGGGAGGGUCCUGCACGAGAGUGAUAGGAGAGGGUGGCACCAACUGUGGCUGCAUCGCUGAGCUAGAAACCGUCGUGCACAUCGACAUUGCCUGUGGCAUCGAUGAGCCCUGCAGCAUCAGUGAGAUCGACAUGGGUUGCCGCACUGGCGAGCGGUGUGGUACAUAGAUGCUGUCGGUGCCGAUCCGCAAGAUUGGAUGCGUGGACUUGCUGGUGAUGGUUGCCAUCUUGGAUGCCUUCUUCGAGGACCCCAGCUCGCUUAAGCUUACAAAGAGAAGUACCAGCUGGUAGACUGGCUGGGGGAUUUGGAGAAUGCACUCCUGCAAGGAAUUGCACCGAGGAGCUCAUGUGCUGCCUCCCUGGCACAACCAUCCCCAAGUACGUCCUGCUGUGAGACAAAGACGAGGUUGAAUAGAAUGAGGAACAGAAACAAUGGGUAGCAAUUUGUUUGGGGAUUGUGCCAACCUCUAGGAUCCCCUUCUCUGCCAUGGAUUUGGAUGCUUGUAGAUUUGUAUCGGGGCACAACAAAGAUGAGGAAGGACAAAGCCCGAACAGCUCAAGUGAAAGUGAACGGAUAUGAACACCACAACCCUCUCAGGGGAUGUUGGCUGAUCAGGAUACCCAAUUCUCAAACAAGAAUGCUGAGAUACCCAAGAUAUGGAACUUCACCCCUAAGCUAGACCACCAGGUGAACAUGUCAAAGGUGCAGUUGGACAAGAUGAAGCCAUGAAUUGUCACACAGGUCACUGAGCUUCUUGGGUUUGACAAACUACCUAACUGCUAUUGACCUGAAUUUAGUUUUAUCUGAACUAAGAACACCUGAUGUGCUGCUUUAACAAAGAAUUACUCAUUUGGUGUUCUUUUGCACUGUUGAUUUUUGUUCAAAAUGGUGUGAGUGCGACCUCUUUGUCAUGUUAGAUAAGCCUUUCUGUAUCACAUGGAUGUGAUAUGUAGUAUGGUGUACAAAAGUGAUGAAAGGUAUUCGUUGGAAUUCAUUUGGCAGCAACAGUUUAUCAA